rnacentral:rRNA from 1 species
GAUGAACGCUGGCGGCGUGCCUAACACAUGCAAGUCGAACGGGAUCCCUUGGAUUCGUCUGGGGGUGAGAGUGGCGAACGGGUGAGUAACACGUAGGUGACCUGCCCCAAAGAGGGGAAUAACCGCUGGAAACGGUGGCUAAUACCCCAUGUGCUCGAUGGUUCGGUCUGUCGAGUAAAGCUCUGGCGCUUUGGGAGGGGCCUGCGGCCCAUCAGGUAGUUGGUAGGGUAACGGCCUACCAAGCCGAUGACGGGUAGGGGGCGUGAGAGCGUGAACCCCCACACUGGCACUGAGACUACGGGCCAGACUCCUACGGGUGGCAG